GAUCAUCAUAACACAAUGUCACCCCAGGGAGUGCCCACAUUUUAGCUUGCUUGUUGCUGGGGAAAAGACUUGCUGCUUUGUGUUUCAUUUGAUGAAGAGCUUCUUUUCAUUUAGUCAGUCACUUAUUUCCAGAGAUUUCCUGGUGAUGUUGCCUCACAUUUAUUUGUGGAAAUGCCAGUAUGUUUUAAGCUUGCAGCUUCCAUAAGUCAGGAUUCCAGUCACAGCUUAGCUGGAUCCUCUCAGAAGGCUACGAUCAAGGUGUCAGCCAGACUGAGUUCUCAUCAGAGGCUCGACUAGGAGAGGAUCUGCUUCCAAGUUCCCUCAGGUUGUUGGAAGGAUUCAUUUUCUUGUGGCUAAGCUCACAGGAGCUUUCUUCUUCAAGGGCAUCAGGAGAGUGGAGAGCGAGUCUACUCAAAGACUUCUAUACAAAUCAUAAGGUCAAACUCCCAAGAGUUUGAGGUCGAAUUUGAUGGAACACCCAGAUGUCCUCAGCUGCCAUGGAGAAUACUUACCAUAUUUGCUUGCAUAUUUUCCCUAUUAUACUGGCAGACACUUUUAGUUGUUAACAUAGAGGAAAGAGGUAUUUAGGUUGUAACUUCCUCAAGCAGUUCUUUCCACAUCAUGUAGCUCUGGUCCAUGCCAUGUGUGCCAAUGGUAACCAAACCUUUCAUCCUGACCAUCACUAACUGGAUUGGCGUCCCAGCCAAAAGCAACCAAUCUCUGUGGAGAAAAGAGAAGCCAACGUCCUCUGAGAAGUCUUUUGCAGGUUUUUUGUAUCAUGGUUAUAUUCAUAUCAUAAAAUGAAUUGGGAACCUCUGGUUUCAGCUCCAACAUGUAAAGAGCUUAGAAGUUGUCACUUCCACCCUUAUAAUAAGAAAAGCCUGAACAAACUGAAAAUCAAUGAUUUUUCUUGUACCCAUCAGAGAGCUGAAGUUGCAAGGUAGACCACCACUCUGAAAUUGGGAGAGACAGGCAAAUCCAGAGAAGUACAGCUAAUAUUUGCAUAUCUGGAGCAGAAGCCACUUGGAGCCAUAAACUGUUAGGAACACUUAAAUGGUAAUUUUGAUGGUAAUUUUGAUAAAUUGCUAGAGGCUGAGUGUGAACUAGCAUGAGACUGAGAAAUUUCCAGGGCCACCGUCUUAGUAGAGCCCUCAUAUUUUCAUGGAUUCUAUUUCCAAAAACCUCAUUAGUUUCUCCCCUACUGGCUCUGGUGGGGUAGAGCAGGGGGAGAAAAUAAAUCUUUAUGAAAUAAAACCAAUGUAUGCUCCAUAGCAAAGGCAUCUCCAGGGACAAACAGGCUUUUCCAGAGCCUUAUCCCACCUGGGCAAAGGGCAUUGAUCCCCCUCUACUUUCCUCUAGCCUUCCUGUCUCACCUAACAGGGAGGAAAAAGUGAAGACACAGGCACACCAAACAAGACCUGUGGCCACAGGAACACAGGCCCACCAAAAGGCUGAGAUUUCAUCAUAGGAUUAUAGAAUACUUUCAUUCUGCAUACUAAUAUGCUCCCGUAUAAUGAAAGUAGAUUACAUGGACAAGAAUUGAAUAUAGAGAAGCACAAAACAAAUUUGUUGAAGUGAUGGAAAUGUCUCAUGUCUUAAUUAGGGUGACAAUAUUCUGGGUGUAUAAAUCCAUCAAAACACAUAGAACUGUCAUCUUAAAUCUGUGCAUUUUAUUUUACCUAAAUUAUACCAAAAUAAAAAACAUAUAAUGGGAAAAAAUACAUUAUAGCAGAAAGAGCUAUAAGAUACAGACUCUCUCUGAGCAGGAGUACUUAGGGAAACCCAAAGUCAACAAAGGAGACAGAAACAAGGACGUUAAAGGAAUUUGAAGCCUUUGGCACCUACAGCCACCAUAAACAUUAAAGACAUCCUAGCUCCCAGCCAGAUUAAUAUAAAAGCUUACACUAAAGGGCUAUUUAGAUUAUGUCUGACUUUCAACAACAGAAUGAAUUGGGAAGCAGUUUUUCUUUUUCUGUUCUUUGAGUUUGGUUACAAUUGGUAUUAUUAAUUCUUUACAUAUUUGGCACAAUCCACCAGUGAAGCCACUUGAGUCUAGAGUUUUCUUUAUGGGAAGUCUUUCACUAGUGGAUUCAAUUGUUUUAACAAAUAUAAGACUACUCAAAUUUUCUUACAUUUUUAGUGUCAGUUUGGGUACAUUGUGUAUUUUAAGGAAUUUACUAUUCACUGAAGUGUCAAAUAUAUUAGUAUUAAGUUUUCUUUUAGCAUUAGUAAGAUCUAUAGUUAAUGUUUACUUCUUUAUUUUCAAUAUUAGUAAUGUGUUUCCUCUCAAACAGUUUUACUGGCAUGUUAUUAAUUUUGUUAAACUUUUCAGAUAUCACUUUUGGCUAUUUUGAUGUUUUCUAUUCUAUUUUUUAUUUCACGACAUUUUCCUGGUGUCUUUAUUUUUACUUCCUUCUAUUUCCCUUGGAUUUUAUUUGAUGGUCUUUUUCUAGCUUUUUGAGAUAAAAGCUUAGAUCAUGAAUUUUUGGCUUUUAUUCUUUUCUAAUAUAUGUAAAUAAAACUAUAACUUUUCCUCUAAACUCUAUAGCUGCAUCUCACAAAUUUUC
rnacentral:lncRNA from 1 species